UUUUAUUUCACAUUCUGCCUUGCUGCUUCAGACGUUUUCCCGUGUUCGCGCUAGCUAGACUAACUACGGCAGCCUGAACCCUUUGGAGGAGAAACUGUAAUUAAAACACCUUGGUGCCCACCAGCCUCGGGAUAUUGUCAUCACUCAAACUGCUGGUAAAAGUAACUGUGGCUUAACGUGGAGUGGUUAGCUUACAAAAUAAGUCAAGUUUGCCCGUCGCCUUUUUUCUUUGAGAGCCCUCAGCCUUGAUGAAGUUUUUCUAAUUGAAAUAUGUGGCUCCAGAUGACCUCUUCUGUCAUCAGUCUGCACCUGCUACAUAUUUUUGGAGUGCCAGCCAGGAGGGACUGAAGGAACAGAAGAGUGUCCCAGUCCUUACUUCGAACACAGUCCAGAAAGUCCAGAUCAGUGUGAUUAAGUCCAAAGAGGAAACAGGGAGCAGCUCCAGGAUGAAGUCAGCUCAGUGCUGUGGACACUGGGAAAGCCUGAACUCAUAAAGGGCGCGUCAUCAACUAAAGUGUAGUGAACCAUCAUGGGAAGGUUUCCAAGGCUUAUCCUGUCGUGCCCCGAGCCGUCUGGCAUCAGAUGGAGCUUUUCUAGUUGAAAUAUGUGACACCAGAUGACCUCUUCUGUCACCAAUCUGCACCUGCUACAACAGCAACUCGUACUGGACCAUUCAUUAGCAGAUACCUGAUAAGGAAGUCUCAAACAAGGCAGAAUCGAUGCAACCCUCCUCCGCCCCAUUCACCUCCUGUUGUCAUCAAUCCCGGCUCCCAGGGUUCCUCCUCCAUCAGAAGCCCAGCUUCACAUCCCAUCCAUCCAGAUCUUUGGGCUUCCUUUAUCCCUUCAUCACCCCCCCUACCAGUGUCUAGACUCCAUCGGGGGGAUAUUCCUAUAUAUCAACGGCUUCUAUACCCCUUAUAAAUUAACAUUGCGAUGGAGUCUAAUCGCCAAAGACUAACAUUUUAAACUACAUUUCAA